GAUGAACGCUGACAGAAUGCUUAACACAUGCAAGUCGAUGGGGAAGUGGUGCUUGCACCAUGGUAACCAUGGCGGACGGGUGGGUAACGCGUAAGGAACUUACCUGCGGGACCGGGAUAACAGCAGGAAACUGCUGACAAGACCGGAUAAGGUCAUUAAGCUGCAUAGCUUAGUGAUGAAAGGAGACGCCUGCGGAGAGCCUUGCGUCCUAUUAGCUAGUUGGAGGGGUAACGGCCCACCAAGGCGAAGAUAGGUAGCCGGCCUGAGAGGGUGGACGGCCACAAGGGGACUGAGAUACGGCCCUUACUCCUACGGGAGGCGGCAGUGGGGAAUAUUGGACAAUGGGGGCAACCCUGAUCCAGCAAUUCUGUGUGCACGAAGACGGUUUUCGGAUUGUAAAGUGCUUUCAGCAGGGAAGAAGGAAGUGACGGUACCUGCAGAAGAAGCGACGGCUAAAUACGUG
rnacentral:rRNA from 1 species